rnacentral:rRNA from 1 species
CCUACGGGAGGCAGCAGUGGGGAAUAUUGCACAAUGGGGGAAACCCUGAUGCAGCGACGCCGCGUGAGUGAAGAAGUAUUUCGGUACGUAAAGCUCUAUCAGCAGGGAAGAAAAACCGGCCUUAGGGCCGCCAGACGGUACCUGACUAAGAAGCCCCGGCUAACUACGUGCCAGCAGCCGCGGUAAUACGUAGGGGGCAAGCGUUAUCCGGAUUUACUGGGUGUAAAGGGAGCGUAGACGGCAGCGCAAGUCUGGAGUGAAAUGCCGGGGCCCAACCCCGGAGCUGCAUUGGAAACUGUGAGGCUGGAGUGUCGGAGAGGCAGGCGGAAUUCCUAGUGUAGCGGUGAAAUGCGUAGAUAUUAGGAGGAACACCAGUGGCGAAGGCGGCCUGCUGGACGAUGACUGACGCUGAGGCUCGAAAGCGUGGGGAGCAAACAGGAUUAGAUACCCCUGUAGUC